UACGUAGGGUCCGAGCGUUGUCCGGAAUUACUGGCGUAAAGAGCUCGUAGGCGGUCUGUCGCGUCGGUUGUGAAAACCCAAGGCUCAACCUUGGGCCUGCAAUCGGAUACGGGCAGACUAGAGUACUGCAGGGGAGACUGGAAUUCCGUGGUGUAGCGGUGGAAUGCGCAGAUAUCGAGGAGGAACACCGGUGGCGAAGGCGGGUCUCUGGGCGA
rnacentral:rRNA from 1 species